rnacentral:sRNA from 1 species
UGAACAUCUCUGUGAUGUCCGCUGAGACGGC